UCCCUGGCAGUCCAGUGGAUAGGAUCCUGUACUUCUAAUGCAGGGGGUGUGGGUUUGAUCCCUGGUCAGGGAA
rnacentral:tRNA from 1 species